rnacentral:rRNA from 1 species
AGGACGAACGCUGGCGGCGUGCUUAACACAUGCAAGUCACGGGGGCUCGCAAGAGCAACCGGCGAACGGGUGCGUAACACGUGAGCAACCUACCGAUUUCUGGGGGAUAGCCGGCCCAACGGCCGGGUAAUACCGCAUACGUUCUUUGGGGGACAUCCUCUGAAGAAGAAACCUCCGGGGGAGAUCGAGGGGCUCGCGGCCUAUCAGCUAGUUGGCGAGGUAACGGCUCACCAAGGCAACGACGGGUAGCUGGUCUGAGAGGAUGGCCAGCCACAUUGGGACUGAGAGACGGCCCAGACUCCUACGGGAGGCAGCAGUGGGGAAUCUUGCGCAAUGGCCGAAAGGCUGACGCAGCGACGCCGCGUGUGGGAUGAAGCAUUUCGGUGUGUAAACCACUGUUGCCCGGGACGAACAGCUUCUUUCGAGGAGCCUGACGGUACCGGGUGAGGAAGCACCGGCUAACUCCGCGCCAGCAGCCGCGGUAA